rnacentral:ncRNA from 1 species
UUUCCCUCAAGAUUGCUGGAGUACGUAAUGAAGCUGUUAUAUUCGGUAAAAAGCUUGUUUGGAGGAAUUGUGGGACCAGACGUCUCCACUUAUUCUCAAAUUUUCAAUGAGUAUGACGUCUUGCUUGCUUGAAUGAAGCAUAAAGAUUGAAUGCAUACUUAAGAGGGCCACUUUUAAUUAGAAGAAUUGGUGCUUUGGGCUGAAUCA